GCAAAGGGCACUUUGUUACAAAAGGGUUCCAUGAUUAAUACGAAUAGCAGUGGGGAGAGAGGGUACCCCUAUCUUGUGUCAUUUCUGAUAUGCACCGCAUCAGAUAGAUGGCCAUUGAUUUUGAGUUUGGCUGUUGUUUUUGAGUAAAUUGCCCUAAGCCAUUUAAUCCAAUUUGGUCCAAACCCCAUUGCCUGUAAUGUAGUGAAAAGUAUUGACCAGUCCACCUUGUUAAAAGCCUUCUUGUCAGGAUUACUAGUUGAUCCAGCACGCAGAACUGUAUCACACCUAGGACUAAAGGUAACGUCUUACCAGGCCUUAGAAUGGCCGGACUUAAAGUACCAGAGAAUAUAGUCAGAAUAAUUGCCAAGGUCGGGGACACAGAAUGAGACACAACGAAGCCAAAGUCAAUAACCAGAAAUAAAGACUCAGGAACACAAUCUCAGACAACCACUAAGGGAAACCCCGACAGGGCAAUGAGGAAAAGGCAAAAUGAGUUUUAAAAAGCCUCUUUCAGAUCUGAUUGGCCG